UACGAAGGGGGCGAGCGUUGUUCGGAAUUACUGGGCGUAAAGGGCGCGUAGGCGGCCGAUCAAGUCAGAUGUGAAAGUCCUGGGCUUAACCUCGGAACUGCCUUUGAUACUGGCUAUCUUGAGUAUGGGAGAGGUGUGUGGAACUCCGAGUGUAGAGGUGAAAUUCGUAGAUAUUCGGAAGAACACCAGUGGCGAAGGCGACACACUGGCCCAUUACUGACGCUGAGGCUCGAAAGCGUGGGGAGCAAACAGG
rnacentral:rRNA from 1 species